rnacentral:rRNA from 1 species
GACGUAGGACGCGAGCGUUAUCCGGAUUUACUGGGCGUAAAGCGUCUGUAGGCGGGCUGAUAAGUUGGGCGUGAAAGCUCCGGGCUUAACUCGGAGAGUGCGUUCAAUACUGUCAGGCUGGAGGAUGCCAGAGGGAAGCGGAAUUCCUGGUGUAGCGGUAAAAUGCGCAGAUAUCAGGAGGAACACCGGUGGCGAAGGCGGCUUCCUGGGGCAGACCUGACGCUGAGAGACGAAAGCUAGGGGAG